CCUGGGCUGGAUAAGUGGACUAAUGU
rnacentral:piRNA from 1 species